GAUUAACGCUGGCGGCGUGCAUAACACAUGCAAGUCGAACGAUGAAACUUAAAUGAUUUCUUCGGAAUGAACUUAAGUGGAUUAGUGGCGGACGGGUGAGUAACGCGUGAGUAACCUGCCUUACACAAGGGGAUAGCCGUUGGAAACGACGAAUAAUACCCUAUGAAACUAUCACCUCGCAUGAAGCGAUAGUCAAAGUGUUAGCGGUGUAAGAUGGACUUGCGUCUGAUUAGCUAGUUGGUGAGAAAAAAGCCCACCAAGGCAACGAUCAGUAGCCGGCUUGAGAGAGUGUACGGCCACAUUGGGACUGAGACACGGCCCAGACUCCUACGGGAGGCAGCAGUGGGGAAUUUUGCACAAUGGGGGAAACCCUGAUGCAGCGACGCCGCGUGAUUUAGAAGGCCUUCGGGUUGUAAAAAUCUUUUGUAUAGGAAGAAAAUGACAGUACUAUACGAAUAAGGUCCGGCUAAUUACGUG
rnacentral:rRNA from 1 species